GUGCUCAUUUCGGUAGCACAUAUGCUAAAACUGGAACAAAACAGAGAAGAUUAACAUGGUCCUUGCACAAGGAUGAAGCAUCCCAUAUUUUU
rnacentral:snRNA from 1 species